rnacentral:rRNA from 1 species
UCUGCCUCANACUUUUUAUCG